AUCUGAUAUGGCGGAGCACGCACUUUGGAAAUGGAAAAAAAUCAAAUAAUUUCCAAAAAAGCAGAUGUUUUGGGCCAAACACUUUUGGCACAACUUGGCCAUUUUUAAUAGGAUCCCAACGGUUUUCUUGACGACGAGCCCCCGAAAUAAUUAGAUAGUCCAGAUUCUAAAAACAUAUUAAGUUGCACUAUGUUAAGUUACAUACAUAUAUACUACUAUACAUUAGAUAUUACAUACUAUUUAGUAAAUGAUGUUAGUAGUA